rnacentral:tRNA from 1 species
UCCCUGAUAGCUCAGUUGGUAAAGAAUCUGCCUGCAAUGCAGAAGACCUGGGUUUGAUCCUGGGUUGGGAA